CCUACGGGGGGCAGCAGUGAGGAAUAUUGGUCAAUGGACGAGAGUCUGAACCAGCCAAGUAGCGUGAAGGAUGACUGCCCUAUGGGUUGUAAACUUCUUUUAUAUGGGAAUAAAAUGUUCCACGUGUGUGAUUUUGUAUGUACCAUAUGAAUAAGGAUCGGCUAACUCCGUGCCAGCAGCCGCGGUAAUACGGAGGAUCCGAGCGUUAUCCGGAUUUAUUGGGUUUAAAGGGAGCGUAGGUGGAUUGUUAAGUCAGUUGUGAAAGUUUGCGGCUCAACCGUAAAAUUGCAGUUGAAACUGGCAGUCUUGAGUACAGUAGAGGUGGGCGGAAUUCGUGGUGUAGCGGUGAAAUGCUUAGAUAUCACGAAGAACUCCGAUUGCGAAGGCAGUUCACUGGACUGCAACUGACACUGAGGCUCGAAAGUGUGGGUAUCAAACAGGAUUAGAUACCCGGGUAGUC
rnacentral:rRNA from 1 species